rnacentral:rRNA from 1 species
ACUCAAAUGAAUUGACGGGGGCCCGCACAAGCGGUGGAUGAUGUGGAUUAAUUCGAUGCAACGCGAAGAACCUUACCUAGCCUUGACAUGUGCGGAACCUUGCAGAAACGCGAGGGUGCCCGAAAGGGAGCCGCAACACAGGUGCUGCAUGGCUGUCGUCAGCUCGUGUCGUGAGAUGUUGGGUUAAGUCCCGCAACGAGCGCAACCCUUGUCGUUAGUUGCCAUCAUUAAGUUGGGCACUUUAACGAGACUGCCGGUGACAAACCGGAGGAAGGUGGGGAUGACGUCAAGUCCUCAUGGCCCUUAUGGCUAGGGCUUCACACGUCAUACAAUGGUCGGUACAGAGGGUUGCCAAGCCGCGAGGUGGAGCUAAUCUCAUAAAACCGAUCGUAGUCCGGAUCGCACUCUGCAACUCGAGUGCGUGAAGUCGGAAUCGCUAGUAAUCGCAGGUCAGCAUACUGCGGUGAAUACGUUCCCGGGCCUUGUACACACCGCCCGU